rnacentral:rRNA from 1 species
CCUACGGGUGGCAGCAGUGAGGAAUAUUGGUCAAUGGACGAGAGUCUGAACCAGCCAAGUAGCGUGAAGGAUGACUGCUCUAGGGGUUGUAAACUUCUUUUAUAUGGGAAUAAAAUGUUCAACGUGUGGGAUUAUGUAUGUACCAUAUGAAUAAGGAUCGGCUAACUCCGUGCCAGCUGCCGCGGUAAUACGGAGGAUCCGAGCGUUAUCCGGAUUUAUUGGGUUUAAAGGGAGCGUAGGGGGGUGGUUAAGUUAGUUGUGAAAGUUUGCGGCUCAACCGUAAAAUUGCAGUUGAAACUGGCAGUCUUGAGUACAGUAGAGGUGGGCGGAAGUCGUGGUGUAGCGGUGAAAUGCGUAGAGAUCACGAAGAACUCCGAUUGCGAAGGCAGCUCACUGGACUGCAACUGACACUGAGGCUCGAAAGUGUGGGUAUCAAACAGGAUUAGAUACCCUAGUAGUC